rnacentral:lncRNA from 1 species
CCACAUACUUGGCCACAUCUCUUUUUAAUCCGUUCCACCAAUACAUGCUUUUGAUAUCAUGAUACAUCUUGGUGGAACCAGGAUGAAUGCUAUAGGGAGUGUUGUGUGCUUCAUGCAUAAUCUCCUGUCUCAGAUCUUCCACAUUCGGCACAUAGCCUACUGCCACACCUCAACAUCCCAUCUACAAUCUGAAACCUUUUUGACUGUCCUGAUUGCACUUCUCCUUUCAGUUUCACAAGGACUGGAUCUAAAUCCUGUGAAACCUUGAUUUCAUCUAUCAACCUCGGUUUCACCUGAAACUGUGCAAUCAAAAGACGAACCUC